AGGGGGCUAGCGUUGUCCGGAAUCAUUGGGCGUAAAGCGCGUGUAGGCGGUCCGGUAAGUCCGCUGUGAAAGUCGGGGGCUCAACCCUCGGAUGCCGGUGGAUACUGUCGGGCUUGAGUACGGAAGAGGCGAGUGGAAUUCCUGGUGUAGCGGUGAAAUGCGCAGAUAUCAGGAGGAACACCAAUUGCGAAGGCAGCUCGCUGGGACGUUACUGACGCUGAGACGCGAAAGCGUGGGGAGCAAACAGG
rnacentral:rRNA from 1 species